rnacentral:rRNA from 1 species
UUAUGGCUCAGGAUGAACGCUGGCGGCGUGCUUAACACAUGCAAGUCGAACGAAGCAACUAUCUUGCUGCAAGAGAGUUGACUUAGUGGCGGACGGGUGAGUAACGCGUGGGUAACCUGCCUCAGUACAGGGGGAUAACAGUUGGAAACGACUGCUAAGACCGCAUAACCCGCUAGUGUCGCAUGACACGGACGGAAAAUAUUUAUAGGUAUGAGAUGGGCCCGCGUCUGAUUAGCUAGUUGGUAAGGUAACGGCUUACCAAGGCGACGAUCAGUAGCCGACUUGAGAGAGUGAUCGGCCACAUUGGGACUGAGACACGGCCCAAACUCCUACGGGAGGCAGCAGUGGGGAAUAUUGGACAAUGGGGGAAACCCUGAUCCAGCCGACGCCGCGUGAGUGAAGAAGUAUUUCGGUAUGUAAAGCUCUAUCAGCAGGGAAGAUAAUGACAGUACCUGACUAAGAAGCCCCGGCUAACUACGUGCCAGCCGCCGC